rnacentral:rRNA from 1 species
AGAGUUCGAUUCUGGCUCAGGAUGAACGCUGGCGGCGUGCUUAACACAUGCAAGUCGAACGAAGCACCUUGGACAGAUUCUUCGGAUGAAGUCCUUAGUGACUGAGUGGCGGACGGGUGAGUAACGCGUGGGUAACCUGCCUCAUACAGGGGGAUAACAGUUAGAAAUGGCUGCUAAUACCGCAUAAGCGCACGGUACUGCAUGGUACAGUGUGAAAAACUCCGGUGGUAUGAGAUGGACCCGCGUUGGAUUAGCUAGUUGGCAGGGUAACGGCCUACCAAGGCGACGAUCCAUAGCCGGCCUGAGAGGGUGGACGGCCACAUUGGGACUGAGACACGGCCCAG